rnacentral:rRNA from 1 species
CGUAGGUGGCAAGCGUUGUCCGGAUUUAUUGGGCGUAAAGCGAGCGCAGGCGGUUUCUUAAGUCUGAUGUGAAAGCCCCCCGGCUCAACCGGGGAGGGUCAUUGGAAACUGGGAGACUUGAGUGCAGAAGAGGAGAGUGGAAUUCCAUGUGUAGCGGUGAAAUGCGUAGAUAUAUGGAGGAACACCAGUGGCGAAGGCGGCUCUCUGGUCUGUAACUGACGCUGAGGCUCGAAAGCGUGGGGAGCAA